GACGAACGCUGGCGGCGUGCUUAACACAUGCAAGUCGAACGGAAAGGCCCUGCUUUUGUGGGGUGCUCGAGUGGCGAACGGGUGAGUAACACGUGAGUAACCUGCCCUUGACUUUGGGAUAACUUCAGGAAACUGGGGCUAAUACCGGAUAGGAGCUCCUGCUGCAUGGUGGGGGUUGGAAAGUUUCGGCGGUUGGGGAUGGACUCGCGGCUUAUCAGCUUGUUGGUGGGGUAGUGGCUUACCAAGGCUUUGACGGGUAGCAGGCCUGGGAGGGUGACCGGCCACAUUGGGACUGAGAUACGGCCCAGACUCCUACGGGAGGCAGCAGUGGAGAAUAUUGCACAAUGGGCGGAAGCCUGAUGCAGCCACGCCGCGUGCGGGAUGACGGCCUUCGGGUUGUAAACCGCUUUCGCCUGUGACGAAGCGUGAGUGACGGUAAUGGGUAAAGAAGCACCGGCUAACUACGUG
rnacentral:rRNA from 1 species